CUGUCUCCAAGUGGGAUUACAGAUGUGAGUCACCAGGACCCAGCCUAAUUAAUGUUUUGAUUCUUUUAUCUCUAAUCUGAGAUAGCUUGUGGCUAUCCUCUUGUUACCAUUUAUAUCUUGCACUAAACUGAAGUCCUUAUU